rnacentral:rRNA from 1 species
UCCUUAGAUGUUCUGGGCCGCACACGCGCUACACUGAAGGAGGCAGCGUGUACUCCUGGAUCGAAAGAUUUGGGUAACCCGCGAAUCUCCUUCGUGCUAGGGAUUGAGGUUUGCAAUUAUCCUUCAUGAACGAGGAAUUCCCAGUAAGUGCAAGUCAUAAGCUUGCGCUGACUACGUCCCUGCCCUUUGUACACACCGCCCGUCGCUACUACCGAUUGAAUGAUUUAGUGAGGACUUCGGACUGGGACCGAUGCGGCUUUCGGGCUGCGUCGGUAUUCUGGAAAGAUGUCCAAACUGUNUNAUUUAGNGGAAGUAAAANUCGUANCA